GUGGGGAAUUUUGGACAAUGGGCGCAAGCCUGAUCCAGCAAUGCCGCGUGCAGGAAGAAGGCCUUCGGGUUGUAAACUGCUUUUGUACGGAACGAAACGGUCCUGGUUAAUACCUGGGGCUAAUGACGGUACCGUAAGAAUAAGCACCGGCUAACUACGUGCCAGCAGCCGCGGUAAUACGUAGGGUGCAAGCGUUAAUCGGAAUUACUGGGCGUAAUGCGUGCGCAGGCGGUUUUGUAAGACAGGCGUGAAAUCCCCGGGCUCAACCUGGGAAUUGCCUUUGUGACUGCAAGGCUGGAGUGCGGCAGAGGGGGAUGGAAUUCCGCGUGUAGCAGUGAAAUGCGUAGAUAUGCGGAGGAACACCGAUGGCGAAGGCAAUCCCCUGGGCCUGCACUGACGCUCAUGCACGAAAGCGUGGGGAGCAAACAGGAUUAGAUACCCCAGUAGUCC
rnacentral:rRNA from 1 species